UGUGUAACAACUCACCUGCCGAAUGGACUAGCCCCGAAAAUGGAUAGCGCUCAAGCCGACGACCUAUACACGACCGUUGGCCUAAAUGCGAUGGGCCAACGAGUAGGAGGGCGUGGAGAUUGUGAAGCAGCCUUGGACGUGAGUCUGGGUGAAACGGUCUCUAGUGCAGAUCUUGGUGUUAGUAGCAAAUAUUCAAAUGAGAACUUUGAAGGCCGAAGUGGAGAAAGGUUCCAUGUGAACAGCAAUUGGACAUGGGUUAGUCGGUCCUAAGAGAUAGGGGAACUCUGUAUCAAGGGGGCAUUUUGCCCUGCCUAUCGAAAGGGAACCGGGUUAAUAUUCCCGGACCAGCGUGUGGAUAAUGCAUGGCGACAUAAGUGAACUUCACGACGGCGGCGGGAGCCCUGGGAAGAGUUGUCUUUUCUUCUUAACAAGAAGCCCACCGUGGAAUCGGGUUAACCGGAGAUACGGUAGGAAGCUUGGCAAAGCACCUUACGUCUUGAGGUGUCCGGUGCGCUCUCGACGCCCCUUGAAAAGUGAAGGGAAGCGUUCAUUCUCACACCUGGCCGUACUCAUAACCGCAUCAGGUCUCCAAGGUGAACAGCCUCUAGUCGAUAGAAUAAAGUAGAUAAGGGAAUUCGGCAAAAUAGAUCUGUAACUUUGGGAAAAAGAUUGGCUCUGAGGGUUAGGCCGUAGUCUUCUGAACCUCGCCAAGCGGUCCAGUGUGUGAGGCAACUCCGCACGACUGCUGAAACGAGCUAGGAAAGACGAAAGCAGUGAAUAACCGACUCAGAACUGGAGCAGCGAGAGGAAUCCGACUGUUUAAUUAAAACAAAGCAUUGUGACGGCUGCAAACGGUGUUGACACAAUGUGAUUUCUGCCCAGUGCUCUGAAUGUCAAGGUGAAGAAAUUCACUCAAGCGCGGGUAAACGGCGGGAGUAACUAUGACUCUCUUAAGGUAGCCAAAUGCCUCGUC
rnacentral:rRNA from 14 species